CCAAUUUAUAUAUAUGUUAGUUUUGCCUGUGGCUUCGGUCACUGGUAUUAACUACUAUGUAAACGUUGAACUAGAUCAAUUGGUGUGGAUUGCUUGGGAAUGGACGAAGCGAUGAGCCUCUUCCGGACAGGCAAGCCCCCACACUGAUAACCUUUUUUCAUAUCAUUUACUCGUAUAUACUACCACAACAACAAAAAACAAAAGCUAUAAUAGGACUUAUUAACGGCUGAGUGGGUAACAUCCUCGGCUUAAACAUAUAAACUAUUA
rnacentral:misc_RNA from 1 species